AAGUCGUAACAAGGUUUCCGUAGGUGAACCUGCGGAAGGAUCAUUACAUUCAGUAGCCCAGCUACUUGUUUACACCCUUGUCUUUUUGCGUACUUAUCGUUUCCUCGGCGGGCUUGCCUGCCGGUUGGACAACUUUAUAACCUUUUUUUUUAAAUCUUCAAUCAGCGUCUGAAUAAUAUACAAUAAUUACAACUUUCAACAACGGAUCUCUUGGUUCUG
rnacentral:misc_RNA from 1 species